AGUGAACGCUGGCGGUAGGCCUAACACAUGCAAGUCGAACGGCAGCACAGUAAGAGCUUGCUCUUACGGGUGGCGAGUGGCGGACGGGUGAGGAAUACAUCGGAAUCUACUUUUUCGUGGGGGAUAACGUAGGGAAACUUACGCUAAUACCGCAUACGACCUACGGGUGAAAGCAGGGGAUCUUCGGACCUUGCGCGAUUGAAUGAGCCGAUGUCGGAUUAGCUAGCUGGCGGGGUAAAGGCCCACCAAGGCGACGAUCCGUAGCUGGUCUGAGAGGAUGAUCAGCCACACUGGAACUGAGACACGGUCCAGACUCCUACGGGAGGCAGCAGUGGGGAAUAUUGGACAAUGGGCGCAAGCCUGAUCCAGCCAUACCGCGUGGGUGAAGAAGGCCUUCGGGUUGUAAAGCCCUUUUGUUGGGAAAGAAAAGCAGCAGGUUAAUACCCCGCUGUUCUGACGGUACCCAAAGAAUAAGCACCGGCUAACUUCGU
rnacentral:rRNA from 1 species